ACUGCUUUUAAUUGUGAUAAUUUUCUGAAAAUUAUUCUUUAGGGGAACAUCAAGUCUUUCUAUGCAGUGACUAAGAUAGAGGUCUUAGUUUUAAAGAGAUUAUGCCUAAGUAAAUAUGAAGGCUACUUAUUGUAGAAGGUAAGGGGUAGUGUAUACCAGCCCUGAAUGCCUUUAUCACUCUGGAACAUCACUGUGGUGCUUCAGAGCUCGGAAGGUCACAGCCAUUCCAGGGAUUGCAAUAGUAAUGGCUGGCGGGUGUGGAGUCCUGGUUUUCUGGCC
rnacentral:lncRNA from 1 species